AUGCCCUCGCCAGUCAUGACGGGCAGGCACAACAUCAACUCGUCCCUGCAGUUCAACAGUUUUUACAGCGAGGAGAAGAUCGCCGCCAAAGUGGAGCACUUGAAGAAGACGUUCAGGUGGUCUGAUGCCGAGGUGGGCAUUGCUUUGUCCAAGCUUGCGCCUGUGCUGACGAGGUCUAACCAGAUGCUGGAGAGCAAGUCAGAGUUCCUCAUUUCCGAGGUGGGGUUUGAGCCAGCAUACAUUGCUCAUCAUCCGGCAUUGCUCACGUACAGCCUGGAGGGCCGGAUCAUACCCCGCAUGGCCACAGGUCCGGGCCGGCGUGAAGCUCGGUGCGGACCGGCAGUCCUCAUGGUCCUGGCGACGUCCAGUCACUGCCAUGUGGGCCCAGGACAUCAGAGAGGUGGUCGGAGUAGCAGCACGGUGGCCGAAGCCAGAGAAGAAGCAUCUGAUGCGCGGCGACGCGAGAGAAAGGCACGGGAGAGAGAGGGAGCAGCAUGGCGCGACGCAGAGGCGUGUUGGCGCGAGGGAGAGGCGCGGCGAGGGGACGACGACGAGAGGCAGAGGCGCGGUGGCACGAGGUUGUGCCAGGGAUAGGGAGGUGGUACCGUCGAAGAACCUCGUCGCCAACGGCCUGCCGCCGUCGAACGACGAUGUCACGCAGGACGUCACGUCGCUGUGUAAGUCCCUCACGGAGACCUGCCUCGGGCCCUUCCGCCGCCUCCUCGCGGAGCUCAAUGACCCAGCCACUGGCCACCCGCCCGUGACUUGCCUCGUCGCCGACAUCAUUAUGGACUUCUCCAUGGAAGCGGCCAGGGAGCUCGGCCUCCCCUAUGUCCAGCUGUGGACGUCCAGCGCCGUCAGUUAUGUCGGUGUCCGCCACUACCGGCUCCUCUUCGACCGUGGCCUCGCACCGAUCAAAGACAUCAAGCAGCUGACAAAUGAGUACCUUGACACGCCGGUGGAUGACGUGCCGGGCAUGCAGAACAUGAGGUUCAGGGACUUCCCGACCUUCAUACGCAGCCCGGCCUCGGACGACUACAUGCUGCAUUUCGCGCUCGGCAUUGCGGAGCGCGCGGUCGGCGCGUCGGCGAUGAUCGUCAAUACCUUCGACGACCUUGAGGGAGAGGCGGUGGCGGCCAUGGAGGCGCUCGGCCUGCCCAAGGUCUACACCAUCGGCCCGCUCCAUCUGCUGGCGCCGAGCUCAAGCAUCAGCAUGAGCCUGUGGAAGCAGGAGGAGGAGUGCCUUCCAUGGCUCGACGGCAAAGAGGUCGGCUCAGUCAUGUACGUCAACUUCGGCAGCAUCACCGUUAUGACCAACGAGCAGCUCCUGGAGUUCGCGUGGGGGCUGGCCAAGAGCGGCAAUCAUUUUCUCUGGAUCAUCCGUCCCGACCUCGUCAAGGGCGACACCGCAGUGCUCCCCCCGGAGUUCUCGGCCGAGACGGUGGAGCGUGGGCUCGUGGCCUCCUGGUGCCCGCAGCAGCAGGUGCUGAACCACCCGGCCGUGGGCGCGUUCCUGACGCACAGCGGCUGGAACUCGACGCUGGAGAGCAUAUGCGGCGGCGUGCCCGUCAUCAGCUGGCCAUUCUUCGCGGACCAGCAGACCAACUGCCGGUACCAGUGCAAGGAAUGGGGAGUCGGCAUGGAGAUCGACACCGACGUCCGGCGCGACGCCGUCGCAGACCUUAUCACUGAGCUCAUGGAGGGGGAGAAUGGAAAGGUGAUGAAGAAGAAGGCACAGGAGUGGAGGGAGAAAGCGGUGAGGGCGACCAAGCCCGGCGGCUCGUCUCACCGCAACUUUGAUGCGUUGAUUCACGACGUGCUUGCUCCUAGCCGCUCUGGGUAGUGUACCUGCUUUAAGUUUUUUUUUUCUGAAUCCCUUCUUUUACGGUGGAGGCCGGUUUUGAGAAUAUUUCGAUAAUCUCAGCAAAUUAGUACCCAAUAAAAUCAAAUAUAUUUUGAAUUGACAAUGUGCCAAAAUAAAUGUAAUUGAUCCGUGGUUUUGCAAUUAGUAGUGCCCGCUCACUUCAUUA